UGACGAAGCGACGCCGCGUGUGGGAAGAAGGCCUUCGGGUUGUAAACCACUGUCGGGAGUUAGGAAAUGCAGGUGCGUUAAUAGCGCACUUGCUUGACUAAGGCUCCAGAGGAAGCCACGGCUAACUCUGUGCCAGCAGCCGCGGUAAUACAGAGGCGGCAAGCGUUGUUCGGAAUUAUUGGGCGUAAAGAGCACGUAGGCGGCCUUGCAAGUCAGUUGUGAAAGCCUUCCGCUUAACGGAAGAACGGCAUCUGAUACUACAGGGCUUGAGUACGGGAGGGGAGAGUGGAACUUCUGGUGGAGCGGUGAAAUGCGUAGAUAUCAGAAGGAACGCCGGCGGCGAAAGCGACUCUCUGGUCCGAAACUGACGCUGAGUGUGCGAAAGCUAGGGGAGCAAACGGGAUUAGAUACCCCGGUAGUCCUAGCCGUAAACGAUGGGCACUAAGUAGAGGGGUUUU
rnacentral:rRNA from 1 species